UGACCUUCCCAAGCUUGUUGAAGGUUUGAAGCGUUUGGCCAAGUCAGACCCUAUGGUUGUUUGUUCGAUUGAGGAGUCUGGCGAGCACAUCAUUGCUGGUGCUGGUGAGCUCCAUCUGGAGAUUUGCUUGAAAGAUCUUGUUGAUGAUUUUAUGGGCGGGGCAGAGAUUAAAGUUUCUGAUCCUGUGGUGUCUUUCCGUGAAACUGUCCUUGACAAGUCUUCGAGGACUGUGAUGAGUAAGUCCCCAAACAAGCAUAACCGUCUCUACAUGGAAGCACGACCUAUGGAGGAAGGCCUUGCUGAGGCUAUUGACGAAGGGAGAAUAGGCCCCAGAGAUGAUCCUAAGGUGCGGUCAAAGAUUUUGUCUGAAGAGUUUGGCUGGGACAAGGACCUCGCCAAGAAGAUCUGGUGCUUUGGCCCUGAAACAACUGGCCCUAAUAUGGUUGUGGAUAUGUGUAAGGGAGUCCAAUACCUCAAUGAAAUCAAGGAUUCAGUUGUGGCUGGUUUCCAAUGGGCCUCGAAAGAGGGUGCCCUAGCUGAAGAGAAUAUGCGUGGGAUAUGUUUUGAGGUCUGUGAUGUUGUGCUGCAUGCUGAUGCCAUUCACAGAGGAGGUGGUCAGGUUAUUCCAACUGCUAGAAGAGUUAUUUAUGCCUCACAGUUGACAGCGAAACCCAGGCUGCUGGAACCAGUUUACUUGGUCGAGAUCCAGGCUCCUGAGCAAGCACUUGGAGGAAUUUAUGGUGUUCUCAAUCAGAAAAGGGGGCAUGUGUUUGAGGAGAUGCAGCGACCUGGUACUCCCCUCUACAACAUCAAGGCUUAUCUGCCCGUUGUUGAGUCAUUUGGUUUCUCUGGUGCUCUGAGGGCGGCAACUUCCGGCCAGGCCUUCCCCCAGUGUGUCUUUGAUCACUGGGACAUGCUGACAUCUGACCCACUCGAGGCUGGCUCUCAAGCAUCUGUUCUUGUAGCCACCAUCCGCAAGAGGAAGGGGCUGAAGGAGCAGAUGACCCCUCUCUCUGAUUUUGAGGACAAGCUGUAAGCUCCAGAAAUUCAUGUGUCUGCAGGUUGGAACUCUGUGUUCUGUUUACAUAUUUGCCUUUUUAUCUGGUCUGCAGGAUUUUUCCUGCUUUCUGUUUCUGCUAUUUAAGUAUUUAAACUUUGUAGAAUUCUUGAUACUGUUUUGCGUUGUAACUGGUUAUGUUGUGGU
rnacentral:misc_RNA from 1 species